UCCCAUGGUAACGUCCCACAGUACCUAGUCCCAUGGUAACGUCCCACAGUAUCUAGUCCCACAGUACCUAGUCGCAUGGUAAUAAGUCCCACAGCACCUAGUCCCACAGUAUCUAGUCCCAUGAUAAUGAGUCCCACAUUAUCUAGUCCCAUGAUAAUGAGUCUCACAGUACCUAGUCCCACAGUAUCUAGUCCCAUGGUAAUGAGUCCAACAGUACUUAGUCCCACAGUACCGAGUCCCAUGAUAAUGAGUCCCACAGUAUCUAGUCCCAUGGUAGUGAGUCCAACAGUACCAAGUCCCACAGUAUCUAGUCCCAUGGUAAUGAGUCCAACAGCAUCUAGUCCCACAGUAUCCAGUCCCACAGUAUAUAGUCCCAUGGUAUCUAGUCUCAUGGUAUCUAGUCCCACAGUAUCUAGUCCCACAGUAUCUAGUCCCACAGUACCUAGUCCAACAGUAUCUAGUCCCACAGUAUCUAUCCCACAGUAUCUAGUCCCACAGUAUAUAGUCCCAUGGUAUCUAGUCUCAUGGUAUCUAGUCCCACAGUAUCUAGUCCCACAGUAUCUAGUCCAACAGUAUCUAGUCCCACAGUAUCUAGUCCCACAGUACCUAGUCCAACAGUAUCUAGUCCAAUGGUAUCUUUCCCACAGUAUCUAGUCCAACAGUAUCUCGUCCCAUGGUAUCUAGUCCCACAGUAUAUAGUCCCAUGGUAUCUAGUCUCAUGGUAUCUAGUCCCACAGUAUCUAGUCCCACAGUAUCUAGUCCAACAGUAUCUAGUCCCACAGUAUCUAGUCCCACAGUACCUAGUCCAACAGUAUCUAGUCCAAUGGUAUCUUUCCCACAGUAUCUAGUCCAACAGUAUCUAGUCCCAUGGUAUCUAGUCCCAUGGUAUCUAGUCCCACAGUAUCUAGUCCCACAGUACCUAGUCCCACAGUAUCUAGUCCCAUGGUAUCUAGUCCCACAGCACCUGGUCCCACAGCAUCUAGUCCAACAGUACCUAGUCCCACAGUAUGUAGUCCAACAGUACCUAGUCCCACAGUAUCUAGUCCCACAGUAUCU
ensembl:lncRNA